rnacentral:misc_RNA from 1 species
GUCGGCUACUCGGAGGCG